UCCCUACCAUCUCACCAGUGCACCCAGGUCACCUGAAACUGAAGGGCAGCCAGGGCUGCCUCUCUGCCCUUCUCCCUGCCCCAUGUUGGAAAGGGCAGCUCUCCCUGUGCUCAGACUGGUGCCAGCAACCAAGCAGAACUCAGUGCCAUUUGAUAUCAAACCCUCUCACACUCGCUGCAUGGCCAGGCAACAGCGGAUAGUGUGCCCCACUCAGCUGAUAAAGGAGUCUUCCUUCUUGAUCUUCUACAGGCAGGAUGCAAUCCCUGUCAAAGCUUAAGGGGACACCAAGUGUGUAACUCAGAACUUCACCUCCAAAUGUGCACGGCAACUCUCUCAGUUUUAUUGAGACACUCGAAAGACCCUCAGUGAAGGGAAGGUCAGGACUGUGGGAAAAAUGGACCCAGAUGACAAACUGAAGUCCAAAUUUCCAGCAAUGUAUCGUUCUGAGCUGCUGGCACCACAAGUGUUUCAGAAAAGCAACAGCAGCCCUUCAAGAGCCUUGCAAACCUUCCAGCACCCUGAAAACCUGUCAUGCCUCUUUGGCUUCUCAGAGUUUAAUAAAG